rnacentral:lncRNA from 1 species
UGUCAACAUAAAAAUUCCUUGUGCCCACCAGCUGCAUUAACAUAUUUUUUUUUUUCCAGGAGCAUCUCCUGCUGCUGGUUUUCAUGUUAAUGCAUUUCCAGUGUCUCACUUCAAGUGAAAAGUGUCCUGUUCUCUCUGCCCUAGCCCACAAAAGCCCAAACUGGCAUAUAUUUAUUUUUUGAAGUUAAUCAGGUGAGGUAUGUAUUCUGUUUGUUUUUUAAGCAUUUGGGAGGAGUUUCUGGAAAACUUGUAAGAUAAUUAAGAUAGUUAAUGAGUGUUGAAAAAUCACUAUUUUUAUAUGUUAUAUGUUCAUAUUAAACCAACUCUUCUGGAACAUUGCUUGGGUAAAUUAAAGUGAUUUUGCACUCUUAAUGCUUUCAGAAUUUUAUGAUGUUUUACAGAAUUGGAAUAACUCAUCUCUAUGUAGCAGAUAAUUUAUUUUACCCAUUAAAAGGGGUCUGUUGGGUCAAAAGUGAUGUU